AUGUCACAGCCCACCUUGACUCAGCCAGCCUCCCAGUCUGGAUCUCUAGGAGGGACAAUUAAAAUAUCCUGUGCCAUCAGCAGCUCUCCAAACUACAUUGUCUGGAUUCAACAGAGAUCUGGGGAAGCCCCUCGCUUUGUGCACUGUGAUACCUGCAGCAGCAGAGGAGAAGGGAUCCCAGACCGAUUCACGGCAACCCGGUCAGGCAACAACGGCUACUUAACCGUCACCAACCUUCAGACUGAAGACGAGGCUGAUUAUUACUGUCACAUGUGGUAUAGCAGUGGAAACGUGUUCCACAGUGAUACAAUCUAA